ACGAACGCUGGCGGCAUGCCUAACACAUGCAAGUCGAACGGGAUCCUGGCUUCGGUCAGGUGAGAGUGGCGGACGGGUGAGUAACGCGUGGGAACCUGCCCAGUGGUGGGGGAUAACUGCGGGAAACUGCAGCUAAUACCGCAUGAGCCCGAGAGGGGAAAGAUUUAUCGCCAUUGGAGGGGCCCGCGUUCGAUUAGGUAGUUGGUGAGGUAAUGGCUCACCAAGCCGACGAUCGAUAGCUGGUCUGAGAGGAUGAUCAGCCACACUGGGACUGAGAUACGGCCCAGACUCCUACGGGAGGCAGCAGUGGGAAAUAUUGGACAAUGGGGGCAACCCUGAUCCAGCAAUGCCGCGUGAGUGAUGAAGGCCUUAGGGUUGUAAAGCUCUUUUGGCGGGGACGAUGAUGACGGUACCCGCAGAAUAAGCCCCGGCUAACUUCGU
rnacentral:rRNA from 1 species